rnacentral:rRNA from 1 species
GACGAACGCUGGCGGCGUGCCUAAUACAUGCGAGUCGAACGCUGAAGCGAGGAGCUUGCUCUUCUUGGAUGAGUUGCGAACGGGUGAGUAACGCGUAGGUAACCUGCCUGGUAGCGGGGGAUAACUAUUGGAAACGAUAGCUAAUACCGCAUAACAACAGUUGUUGCAUGACCGCUGUUUAAAAGAUGCAAUUGCAUCACUACCAGAUGGACCUGCGUUGUAUUAGCUAGUUGGUGAGGUAACGGCUCACCAAGGCGACGAUACAUAGCCGACCUGAGAGGGUGAUCGGCCACACUGGGACUGAGACACGGCCCAGACUCCUACGGGAGGCAGCAGUAGGGAAUCUUCGGCAAGGGGGGGAACCCUGACCGAGCAACGCCGCGUGAGUGAAGAAGGGUUUCGGAUCGUAAAGCUCUGUUGUAAGGGAAGAACGGGUGUGAGAGUGGAAAGUUCACACUGUGACGGUAUCUUACCAGAAAGGGACGGCUAACUACGUG